AUGACCUGGUUGAGAAGAUCCAGCUUCUUACAGGACCAUCCGAAGAAGCAUUCUUCCCCUGAAAGAAGUGAAGGUACCAUUCUCCACCAUGCUUAUUCUGUGUCUCAGAGAUUUGUUCAAAGAACUGCACUUUGUGAAUGGUGCUCCGGAGCACUUUCAGUGAUUACUACUCAUACCUCUUCCUGGGAAACUGUUGAAAGGACCAGCAAACAUCUGGUUUACUCAGAUAUAAUCUCAGAUUAAUGGAAUUGUGGAACAGAUUACACUCGUCUCACUAAGAUCGGAACAGCUGAGCAUCACAAACCAAGAGUGACAGCCAGUUUAAAAAAAAAAAGCCUGAAGAGUUUGGAUCUUUUUUUCCUUAGAAGCAAGAAAAAUGGAAAAUUGAUAAUCAAAGGUAAAAUUGUGUCAUUUCUUCUAAUAUAACACAACCCUAUGGCUUCUUUUCCAGCUAUCUUACGGAAAACAAUUUCUUUUUUUUUUUUUUUUUUUGAUAACAUGGUAUAUUCAAGCAUAAAUAUUUCUGGCUUGUAAUUCCAGACAUAUUAAGAGGCUGCUGAGUACAGAGUGUGAUUUUUAACUCCCUGGUUUGCUUGUUACAGAAUGUAAAAGAGACAUGUUUUAUAUGUUUAUAUGUUUAGUCUUCAUUCUUGUUGUUAAUCUAGAAUGGCAGAUGAGGUAAAUGCCGUUUUCCUGACUGUGGACCAAAAUAGUGUACUUUGCAUUAAGCAUAGAAUUACAAAAUUAGAUGGCAUCGUAUCAGCUUUUAACUUUUUUUCUUUUUAGUGUUGUGCAGGUUUGAACUUAUCAGUACUUAUCAGUACAGUGUGCUCACCAAGAUCUACAUGCUCUAAGAAAGGCAGUGGAGACACUUAAGGCAAUGCUGUAUCUCCACUCCACUCCUUUCCUAUCAUUAUGGAGUUUUGAGAAGGAAAAAAAGGAGAUUCUUAAUGAUGUACAAAUCUGAAACACCACAUAUGUGGUGUCUAAUCAGAAGGGGAUUAAAAUUGCUGAAUGUAUUAAUAAGCUGUCAUCUUUCUUGGGGUUGCUUGCUUGAGACAAUGAUUUGAGCAUGGUGAUUAACUGGGAAGCUCAUCCCAAGGAUGGGAGUUAGAGGUCAGGGAGUGUGAAUUGGGGAAGAAGCAAAGGCCAAACCAAGUGGGGAGUAGAAGGCCCUCAAUGCGGACUGCAGGAGCAUUAUUCCCUGGGACCUCUGGAAGCAUGGGGGACCUCCCAGAAUUUCUGCCUGAAGGACAUGUGGCAAGAGGUUUAUCCACUGGGUUUCCCACAUUGGUUGUGGAUUGGUCCCAGGGGCAUUGAUAACCCCUUCAAUGUGGGGCUGUGCUGGCAUUGCAUGGGUCUGGAAGUCACCCAGUGGUCACUUGAGUUUGGAUGCUAGAAAGGUGAAGAGAACCCCAGCUGGCGCAGAACCAUCUGUCUGUGCAGCUAUGGCUGAAAUCAUAGAAGGGCCAAGGGGUGUGAUACAGGGAACCAGAGGCAUCCAUUAGAUUUCCUUUUAACUUAAUUAUCAUAAAAUAAAUCAUAAAAUAAAUCAUAAAAUAAAUCA
rnacentral:lncRNA from 1 species